rnacentral:rRNA from 1 species
GACGUGGGGUGCGAGCGUUGUCCGGAUUUAUUGGGCGUAAAGAGCUCAUAGGCGGCUUGUUGCGUCGACUGUGAAGACCCGCGGCUUAACCGCGGGCUUGCAGUUGAUACGGGCAGGCUAGAGUUCGGUAGGGGAGACUGGAAUUCCUGGUGUAGCGGUGAAAUGCGCAGAUAUCAGGAGGAACACCGGUGGCGAAGGCGGGUCUCUGGGCCGAUACUGACGCUGAGGAGCGAAAGCAUGGGUAGCGAACAGG